UGCCUGGAAGACUAGUGGGAAGGCCUCAGUGCUCUCACCCCGUGGCCCGGGUUCGAAUCCUGGCCAGGGAA
rnacentral:tRNA from 1 species